GCCCCUAUCCUCAGGGGCGCCGUCACAUUGGUGGAGCAUGCGGCAUCUGCCCCUUCUUGGUAACUUGGUAGGAAGGAAGCUGCGGAGUGGAGCAUGGCACGGCAUUGUAUUGGGCCCAAAUCGUUCCUUUGUUUGGCUGCCGGAAGCCACCCAUCAGUUUUUGUUUUGCUAGAGGAAGAUGGAUGAUCUUGGUGCUAAAACACACUGUGGAAGUGCUGUUCACUGCUGACCAAUUGGUGUCCUGGCUGCAGUAUUGGGGGAGGAGCUAGUCCUUUAAAUCAGGAACCAAGAUGGCCCCCAGAAAGUUGUCUGACAUAUAGGCUGUGUGUUUGAGCUUGUUUGGAUUGUUAAGUUUCUUCUGUUAGGACUUUGCUUUGUCUGUUUUAUGUGCUCACUCCUUGUUCAUUGUUUUACGAUGUUUUUUACUUUUCCUGCUGCCUUUAAAUAGUAAUAUAUAAUUCAUAAGAAGUUUGAUAGUUUGUGGUACUGGGGCUUUCACACAGGUAAGAAGGGUGCAUUUCUAUUUUUUACUCUUUAGGAUUAUGUAGGAUGUGGCAGUGUGAUGUUCCACCUAGAUCAUUCUUGUUUGUCAUGGAUUUUAUUUUGAAAAUUGUGCUGAGUUUUCAGUUGCUGGAGCACUUCAGAGGACUAAUGCUGCCUUUAGGAUCUCCUCGGAAAUUUCUACUUACAAGGUUGCAGGUCAUAAUUACGACUUUGUCAUUAGGAAAAUUAGUCUCUGCAACAACUUCUUGAGUGAAGCAAAAAGUAAACUGCUUUCCUAAAAUCUCUCCUCUCUGAAAAAUUCCAUCUUAAGAGAAGGCCUGUGGUUAUAGUGCAGCUCCUUAAUGCAGUGCUUAGAAACAGACAAAUAUGGUCUAUUUUCGACACAAGUGGUUAAAUCAGUCAGUUAAUCAAUUUAAUUUUUGUCAAAACAGCUGUUUUACUCGCUGGUUUGGCGCGAAUUGUUAAGGUGAAAUUUUUAAGGUGGAAUGCUAAAUGAGAUUUUUAUUUUCUUUUAAAUUCUCAUUUUGUUUAAUGACCAGAUAACAUGGCAGCUUAUGUUGGGUGUUGGAUAAAUGUGUAGGGCUGGUUAAAUAAAU